AUUGAACGCUGGCGGCAUGCCUUACACAUGCAAGUCGAACGGUAACAGGUCUUCGGAUGCUGGCGAGUGGCGAACGGGUGAGUAAUACAUCGGAACGUGCCCGAUCGUGGGGGAUAACGAGGCGAAAGCUUUGCUAAUACCGCAUACGAUCUACGGAUGAAAGCGGGGGAUCUUCGGACCUCGCGCGGACGGAGCGGCCGAUGGCAGAUUAGGUAGUUGGUGGGAUAAAAGCUUACCAAGCCGACGAUCUGUAGCUGGUCUGAGAGGAUGAUCAGCCACACUGGGACUGAGACACGGCCCAGACUCCUACGGGAGGCAGCAGUGGGGAAUUUUGGACAAAGGGCGAAAGCCUGAUCCAGCCAUGCCGCGUGCAGGAUGAAGGCCUUCGGGUUGUAAACUGCUUUUGUACGGAACGAAAAGCCUCUUUCUAAUAAAGAGGGGUCAUGACGGUACCGUAAGAAUAAGCACCGGCUAACUACGUG
rnacentral:rRNA from 1 species